GUGGGGAAUUUUGGACAAUGGGCGAAAGCCUGAUCCAGCCAUGCCGCGUGCAGGAUGAAGGCCUUCGGGUUGUAAACUGCUUUUGUACGGAACGAAAAGACUCCUUCUAAUAAAGGGGGUCCAUGACGGUACCGUAAGAAUAAGCACCGGCUAACUACGUGCCAGCAGCCGCGGUAAUACGUAGGGUGCAAGCGUUAAUCGGAAUUACUGGGCGUAAAGCGUGCGCAGGCGGUUAUAUAAGACAGAUGUGAAAUCCCCGGGCUCAACCUGGGAACUGCAUUUGUGACUGUAUAGCUAGAGUACGGUAGAGGGGGAUGGAAUUCCGCGUGUAGCAGUGAAAUGCGUAGAUAUGCGGAGGAACACCGAUGGCGAAGGCAAUCGCCUGGACCUGUACUGACGCUCAUGCACGAAAGCGUGGGGAGCAAACAGGAUUAGAUACCCUGGUAGUCC
rnacentral:rRNA from 1 species